rnacentral:rRNA from 1 species
CCUACGGGUGGCUGCAGUCGAGAAUCUUCCGCAAUGGGCGCAAGCCUGACGGAGCAAUGCCGCGUGAAGGAUGAAGGUCUUUGGAUUGUAAACUUCUGUCACCGGGGACGAAUUAUGACGGUACCCGGGGAGGAAGCCACGGCUAACUACGUGCCAGCAGCCGCGGUAAUACGUAGGUGGCGAGCGUUGUUCGGAAUUAUUGGGCGUAAAGGGUUCGUAGGAUGUUUUUUAAGAUUGGUGUGAAAUCCCAGGGCUCAACCCUGGAACUGCAUUGAUGACUGAGAGACUAGAGUAUCGUAGAGGAAAGCGGAAUACCAGGUGUAGCGGUGGAAUGCGUAGAUAUCUGGUAGAACACCGACAGCGAAGGCGGCUUUCCGGACUAGUACUGACGCUGAGGCGCGAAAGCUAGGGGAGCGAACGGGAUUAGAUACCCUGGUAGUC